rnacentral:rRNA from 1 species
AGUCAUAUGCUUGUCUCAAAGAUUAAGCCAUGCAUGUCUCAGUACAAGCCAAAUUAAGGUGAAACCGCGAAAGGCUCAUUAAAUCAGUUAUGGUUCCUUAGAUCGUACCCACAUUUACUUGGAUAACUGUGGUAAUUCUAGAGCUAAUACAUGCAAACAGAGCUCCGACCGGAGACGGAAGGAGCGCUUUUAUUAGAUCAAAACCAAUCGGUGGCGGGUCCGCCCGUCAUCGUACAUUUUGGUGACUCUGAAUAACUUAUUGCUGAUCGCACGGUCUAGCACCGGCGACGCAUCUUUCAAAUGUCUGCCUUAUCAACUGUCGAUGGUAGGUUCUGCGCCUACCAUGGUUGUAACGGGUAACGGGGAAUCAGGGUUCGAUUCCGGAGAGGGAGCCUGAGAAACGGCUACCACAUCCAAGGAAGGCAGCAGGCGCGCAAAUUACCCACUCCCGGCACGGGGAGGUAGUGACGAAAAAUAACGAUACGGGACUCAUCCGAGGCCCCGUAAUCGGAAUGAGUACACUCUAAACCCUUUAACGAGGAUCAAUUGGAGGGCAAGUCUGGUGCCAGCAGCCGCGGUAAUUCCAGCUCCAAUAGCGUAU